rnacentral:lncRNA from 1 species
AAGGUGCUAGGUCUGUGUAGAAUGAGUUGGUAAUCACAUUUUGAAGAAUUAAAUUAUUUUCAUCUUACCAAGUUCGAAUGUUAAAGAAUCCAUACUUCAAGAUGUCUUAAAACACUUGUGAAGGCAAUUUAGUCAUGGGUUCUUGCAAAGCAACCUUCAGAUAAGGAGACUCUUGAGUAAUUCUAGGCGGAGGACCAAACACGAAAGAACAGAUUGGUGCAGCCCGAUGAUUAUUUGUCUGUGAAGGCAGGAUACUAACUAAAGCCAACGAAAAUGGAAUGACAGGGACUCCUUAAUUGGUCUCUGAAAUGUUGGCUCUCGCGGUCCCUGAAUUUACUUUAUCUUCAGUAUUAAAAUUAUCCAGGAUAAUCACCGAAGUACCUCGAUAUUUGCAAGGAGGGUCAUGAGAAUCAUGAAUACCAUCUAUUCCUUGAAGUGCAUCGAUUUGCCCAUCAUUUUCGUCAAUCUAAUCUUGCAAAAAGUUUGGUAUUCAUGAUAAACCUACAAAAAAAUGAAGU